UUAUCCAACAUGUGAGGAUUAUCCUAAAUAUACUUAGUGAGCAAGUUUGAGGUUAUUCAUUCCCUCAUUUCUCACCCAUAGAACCGUCCCCUCCCUCUCUCUCUUCUCUCCCAAUUUUCUUCAUCAUCCUCCAUUGAUGAUCAUAUACAAAGCUUCAUAGAUCAUUUCUAUACCAUAAGCUUCCAUUAAAACAAGCUCUAAACAUCUACACACUUCAAAUCAAGAGCAACUAUGGAAGGUUUUUAAAGCUUGAAGUCAAGAGGAUAUUUUAUUUUUCUACUCAAAAAUCAUUGAAUGCGAGCAGAGGACGGAAGUGAGUCCACCCUGAACGCUACGAGAGUAAGCUAGGACAUCAGGUGGGCAUUAUUUUUACUAUACGUAUAUAGAGAUCCCCUGCGUAUCGUAGGCCUCUUAUACGAAAUGAAAUAAAUGAUGUGAUUUAACUAUCAAUUUCAGUUUGAUGAAAAUUAUUACUGUUGAUGAUGUUUAUGAGUCUGAUAAAUAUUUUGAGAUUUAUUGAUGUUGAACUAAUUGACUUGCCAAGUUUUGAUGACGACGAGCCUGUAUGUCACCCUCUACUGAUGAGACGAAUUUGGGUUCUGCCACAAGCGGGAUUGUGUACACAGAGGUGACCGUGAGUUGUCCUUCGGGUCGGCCGGUCACGGUACUUGAGAAGGAGGCCUACUUCUCAGUACCUUAAAUGAUGAUGAUUCGUAGAUGUGGAUAAGCAAGGAGGGAGAUUGGACUGGUGCUGGCAGGGAUUUUGUUUUGGAUGAUCUUCAUUAUACCGUAAUUAUAUUCCUUGCGGUAACAUCAAGAUGUUGAGGUUUAUUUUAAACUUAAUCAAGAAAUUUACUCCCGGCUAUAUGUCUUCAUACAUAUAGUCUGUUCGCAUUUUGCUGCGAUACUCUGUAUAUCCCAAGACAUUGUGAGUAAUUAGCUAUGUCUACUUUGUAAAGGUUGAAAAGAAUCUCGAUGAUUUAAAAGUUAUAAAGCCAAUAAUAUUUUUAUUGAUGAUGAUGUCA